rnacentral:rRNA from 1 species
CCUACGGGUGGCAGCAGUGGGGGAUAUUGGACAAUGGGGGGAACCCUGAUCCAGCGACGCCGCGUGAAUGAAGAAGUAUUUCGGUAUGUAAAGUUCUGUCAGCAGGGAAGAAAGCAAUGACGGUACCUGACCAAGAAGCCCCGGCUAACUAGGUGCCAGCAGCCGCGGUAAGACGUAGGGGGCAAGCGUUAUCCGGAAUUACUGGGUGUAAAGGGAGCGUAGACGGCGGUGCAAGUCUGGAGUGAACGCCGGGGGCGCAACCCCCGAACUGCUUUGGAAACUGUAUGGCUGGAGUGCAGGAGAGGUAAGCGGAAUUCCUGGUGUAGCGGUGAAAUGCGUAGAGAUUAGGAGGAACACCAGUGGCGAAGGCGGCCUACUGGACUAUAACUGACGUUGAGGCUCGAAAGCGUGGGGAGCAAACAGGAUUAGAUACCCUUGUAGUC